GGGGACGUGGCGGAACUGGUAUACGCGCAGCGUUGAGGUCGCUGUGGGGCAACCCAUGAGAGUUCGACUCUCUCCGUCCCCACCA
rnacentral:tRNA from 2 species